rnacentral:rRNA from 1 species
GACGAACGCUGGCGGCGUGCUUAACACAUGCAAGUCGAACGGAAAGGCCCUGCUUUUGUGGGGUGCUCGAGUGGCGAACGGUGAGUAACACGUGAGUAACCUGCCCUUGACUUUGGGGUAACUUCAGGAAACUGGGGCUAAUACCGGAUAGGAGCUCCUGCUGCAUGGUGGGGUUGGAAAGUUUCGGCGGUUGGGGAUGGACUCGCGGCUUAUCAGCUUGUUGGUGGGUAGUGGCUUACCAAGGCUUUGACGGGUAGCCGGCCUGAGAGGGUGACCGGCCACAUUGGGACUGAGAUACGGCCCAGACUCCUACGGGAGGCAGCAGUGGGGAAUAUUGCACAAUGGCGGAAGCCUGAUGCAGCAACGCCGCGUGCGGGAUGACGGCCUCGGUUGUAACCGCUUACGUCCUCGUGACGAGGCGUGAGUGACGGUAA